rnacentral:rRNA from 1 species
GAUGAACGCUGGCGGCGUGCCUAAUACAUGCAAGUCGAGCGGAGAAUUUAGCAAUAGAUUCUUAGCGGCGAACGGGUGAGUAACGCGUUGGUGACCUGCCUCGAAGUUUGGGAUAACAGUUCGAAAGGACUGCUAAUACCGGAUGUGAUCGCGGAGAUUAGAGGCUCUGUGAUUAAAGGAGAAAUUCGCUUCGAGAGGGGCCUGCGUCCCAUCAGCUAGUUGGUAAGGUAAAGGCUUACCAAGGGCGAUGACGGGUAGGGGACCUGAGAGGGU